UUCAUCACUGACCUUAGUGUUGCCCAUAAGGUAAACUACACCACUGACCUUGGUGUUGUCUAUAAGGUUAACUACACCACUGACCUUAGGGUUACCCAUUAGGAGACCACACAUUGGUAAAACUUUUUUUAGGGUGUACUGAUCUUAGUGUUGCCCAUAAGGUAGACUGAACCUUGGUGAAACUCCCUGGGUGUACUGCCCUUAGUGUUGCCCAUAAGGUAGACAACCUUGAUGAAGCUCCCUUAAGUGUGUACUGCCCUUAGUAAUGCCCAUAAGGUAGACAACCCUGAUGAAACUCCCUUAAGUGUGUACUGCCCUUAGUGUUGCCCAUAAGGUAUACUACACCACUGACCUUAGUGUUGCCCACAAGACAAACUAUACCACUGACCUUAAUGUUGACCAUAAGGUAGGCUACACCACUGAACUUAGUGUUGCCCAUAAGGUAAACUACACCACUGAACUUGGUGUUGCCCAUAAGGUAGGCUACACCACUGACCUUAGUGUUGCCCAUAAAGUAGGCUACACCACUGACCUUAGUGUUGCCCAUAAGGUAGGCUACACCACUGACCUUAGUGUUGCCCAUAAAGUAGGCUACACCACUGACCUUAGUGUUGCCCAUAAGGUAGGCUACACCACUGACCUUAGUGUUGCCCAUAAAGUAGGCUACACCACUGACCUUUGUUGCCCAUAAAGUAGGCUACACCACUGACCUUAGUGUUGGCCAUAAGGUAGACUACACCACUGACCUUAGUGUUGCACAUAAAGUAGGCUACACUACUGACCUUGUGUUGCCCAUAAGGUAGACUACACCACUGACCUUAGUGUUGCCCAUAGGUAGACUGAACCUUAAUGAAACUCCCUUAAGUGUGAACUGACUUUAGUGUUGCCCAUAAGGUAGACUAAACCAUGAUGAAACUCCCUGGGUGUACUGACUUUAGUGUUGCCAAUAAGGUAGACUACACCUUGAUGAAACUUGGUUUCUUUACCCUUAUCCUACCAAAGACAAGUUAUCUCAUUUCUUCGGGCCAUGUUUUUCAGUGCCAAAGACAAGUUAUCUUAUUUUUAUAUUAACUUAGUUUUUUAUAUUAACAAGUAGAGUCACCUGAUCUUUACCCUGGGUAUUGUUUGAAUGUCAGGAAAUCAACCAAUCAUUUUUUCAGAUGAUGUGAUGUGAUGGUAUUUGUGGUCACGUUACGAUUUUAUAUUCCUUGUACUAUUUCUGUUAUUAUCCAGGAAAAUGGUUCUUCAAUCAAAACUUUUAACCUUCUAAAGCAGUGGAAGUAGCCAAAAUUUGUGUACUGCUUUAUAUAGCUUGUAGAUCACACCAAACUCAGAGCUAAUAUCCUCCCGCUCGCUCUUGUGGAAAAUAAACCAAUGGGAAUAUCCCCUAUAUAAUGAAUGUUUAGUUUUUAGAUACUGUCUGGAUAUCACCUGCUAGUAUCUAGAAAUUCUAUGUCUUAAGGAGAUUCGAUACUGUUUCUCAAGCCCUAAACUACCCAGUGAAUCUUUGUAUAUCUUCUUGUCGAUCGUAAGCUUUAGGUGCCAUUCUGGGGACUAUUUAAUACUUUC